GCUGUAGCUCAGUGGAAGAACAUCUGCUUUGUAUGCAAAAGAUUCUAGGUUCAAUCCCCAGCAUCUCUA